ensembl:lncRNA
GAAAGAAAGGAGAAGAAAAAAAGAAGAAAAAAAAAGCAAACAACCCAAAGCACACAGCUCUGUGAGACUCUGACAAUCCCUGACUACUACCAACUAAAAUGGACAUUCAGAGCCCGUAAGGUUCCCAGAUUUUCAUCUGGUAGAUCCAGGGCAGAAGCAUGGAUGCUAGCGGCACACAGUGCUGCUGCGGUGGCUCAGACACAUCCAGAUGUCAUGGAACAGCAGCACUUGCUUGAGCUGGCAAGCAUGGGCUCAGUGGUGGUACCCUACUCUAGUGGUGAGCAACCCUGUAGAGAUUUGUCAUGUGGCAUGAGUGACAGGAAAGGAAGGGAACAGAUCCCUAACAAGGCUUUGUGACAAGCGUAAAGAAACAAUCACAUUCUUGUUAUUCUUCCUGGUAAUAAGGACAAUGUUUCUGGGAAUAUAUGGCACACCUAAUGGUACCUCGUAACAUGGCUGAUAAUGACACAAAGAGUGAGUGUAGUCAGUGAAACUGCAGCAUAUAAUAACGGCAAUUAACAGAUCUUCAAAGUAUUUUAAAACAACAAAAUCUAUUUUCAAUUCACUGUUGCUAGAAUGAGAUCAAGACCAAAGUCACUAAAUGGCAACUAAGAUUUUUCAGCGCAUGGUAUAAAAAUUUUGAUACAUGAACAACAUGCUUUUAAGUCAUGCUUUCUUCUUAUGCACACGUGUAAGGGAAGCAAAGGAGGAUGUGGGAAAGCCUUUAACCAGCUGAUUCUAAUCGUAUCUGCAGCACUCAUCCAAAGUUCCUGAAUAACUCUAGUUAAGGAUCUUUCUCACUUUCUCAUAAUCUAGGACUACACUUUCCUUGAUGCAGACUUCUGCCUUCCUCCCUUCGAUCUUAAAUUAUAACUCAGUCUGACAGAAUUAGAUCUAUGCAGACAGACACAGUGGAAUGAGUGCAUAUGCACUGAGCAUGGAUGUUGCUUCAGAAGCAGCUGUCAAAGUAAUUAGCAUGUAGUAAAACAGAGCAAACCCACUUUACUUACACACUUCCUGCUCUCCUAUUUCAUUAUCUUUUAGGAGGCAAAAGGGUGUGGCUGGAUGUCAAAAAUGUGUGAGUGCAUCCUGCGGGCUCUGGGGAGGGCAAGGAACAGUCAUGCUGUGGGGCUGACUCCAAAAUGUUUCCAGAAAUGCCAGUGAGUCACUUCUCCAGGUCUUCAACAGCAAUGCUGCAAGCCCUGCUAGCGCUUCAAGCCAAGAUACAUUUGGUGAUCACCAGUCCUCAGCCAUUGUACAGCAACAAGUGUUCCUGACUGGAGGAUUCACUGAAUUCUUUUGCCGUGCCAUUUAACUGUUAUUUUACUCUUCUCCCUCCUUGAAAUUCAGUUGUCAUUAAAUGUGUCCCUGGGGUAGUUGACACCAGCAUCCUUCAUCCUCAAGUUAAAGACUUAUUUGAUUUCAAAGGGUGUUUUUACCUAACUAAAGACCGUUUCCCACACUUAGGCUAUACAAGCUUAUACUAGACAUUCUUAUAUUUUUUUUUUUUUAAUUUUAAGUUUUCUCUGUAAGUCAUCAAACCUGCGUCUUGUUUUAUGUCCUGGGCUUACUGAGUAUUCUUCUGUAACUGUAUUUUUAUCACAAGGCAAUAUUUAAGUUGCUGAAUGAAAAGCUUUUAUAGAUAGAAAUAUGUAAAUUUGGACUCUUGCUUCACUGAUAUUUGAAUCAAAGCCUUUGUUUUUUAUUCUUGAUUUUAGUCGGAUGAAGUUGUGGACUCCAGAUAUUCAAAUAGCUUAAUAGUAUUGCAGAGAUAGCAGCACAUGUUUUUCUGCACGGGGAGCAUUAAAACUGUUUUUUUUUUUUUCUUGAAUUUCUAUUGCAAUCAGGCAGCGUUGGGUACCAUUACAGUAAAAUAUCUAAAUAAUAGGUAAGCAGAUUCAGUGAGCUGCAAGACCGAAAAAGGUUUUCUUCCAGCUUAAUAAAUAUCUGGAGGCCCAGAUCACCUCAGAGCUGCAGAGAAUGCAAAGCUUUGAAUGCUCAGGACAGCUGUUCUCCCUCCCUCGGUGGCCUGUUUGGUUAUGAUUGUACCUGAUCCAAUCGACUGGCAGUAUUCCCCAAGUGACACAAAUACUACAGAGCAGAACAGGAGAGGAAAAAUUUUUGAGCUGACUGCAGUCGUCAAGAUGUCUGGGCAUUUACACCAGGACAACAACAGCAGCAACAUCGUAACAUGAUCGAAGCCAUUGGGAUUGCUUAGGGUACCUCAAGGAGUGACCUAUCCUUGCCCUCUCCCUGGCAAAGGGACCCAAAUCAGCAGUUCAGAGUUUCCACUGCAUGAAAAGUCUUGAAUGGAAAGAUAAAUUUUCAUCAUGAAAAUGUUUUGCAUUGGGAUGUUUAUAUUUGUAAUUUUCCAAGUUAAGGGGAAAAGAAAGUGAUUGCCUACAAAGCAUUAGAAGUAGACAAUGAAGUAAUAAGAAAGUUCAUGUUAUGUGUUGAUCUUUGGAUAAUCAGAGAAGAAAGAAGACUUUAGAAAGAGGAGUAAUGUCAAAAAGAAUAUUUUAGGGUUAUUUUUAUAAGCGUUCCAGGUAAUAUUAACUGUGCAAGACUGCAUUCCAUUACUCCACUGUGUUACAAAAGCCUCAGCCUGAACUUUAGCUGUGUGUACAAAAAAGACAGUGUAAGUACAGAUGUGUAAAGAGUGUAACAAUGUUUGUGACAGCUGGUGGAAGGUCAUGUUUGCACAGGAAUCAUGAAAGGAGCCAGCAAACAGAACUAUCUGGAAGGGAAAGUAAGAGCUUUCCUCUGGACUCAAUGAGUUUAAGUGGAAACAACAAAUGAGGCCUGCUUUUCUGUGGAUCUCUGAUCU